rnacentral:rRNA from 1 species
UGGGGAAUAUUGCACAAUGGGCGAAAGCCUGAUGCAGCAACGCCGCGUGAGUGAUGAAGGUCUUCGGAUUGUAAAGCUCUGUCUUUUGGGACGAUAAUGACGGUACCAAAGGAGGAAGCCACGGCUAACUACGUGCCAGCAGCCGCGGUAAUACGUAGGUGGCGAGCGUUGUCCGGAUUUACUGGGCGUAAAGGGUGCGUAGGCGGAUGUUUAAGUGAGAUGUGAAAUACCCGGGCUUAACUUGGGUGCUGCAUUUCAAACUGGAUAUCUAGAGUGCAGGAGAGGAGAAUGGAAUUCCUAGUGUAGCGGUGAAAUGCGUAGAGAUUAGGAAGAACACCAGUGGCGAAGGCGAUUCUCUGGACUGUAACUGACGCUGAGGCACGAAAGCGUGGGUAGCAAACAGGAUUAGAUACCCUGGUAGUCCACGCCGUAAACGAUGAGUACUAGGUGUAGGAGGUAUCGACCCCUUCUGUGCCGCAGUAAACACAUUAAGUA